AUUGAACGCUGGCGGCAGGCCUAACACAUGCAAGUCGAGCGGAUGAGAGGAGCUUGCUCUUCGAUUCAGCGGCGGACGGGUGAGUAAUGCCUAGGAAUCUGCCUAGUAGUGGGGGACAACGUUUCGAAAGGAACGCUAAUACCGCAUACGUCCUACGGGAGAAAGUGGGGGAUCUUCGGACCUCCCGCUAUUAGAUGUGCCUAGGUCGGAUUAGCUAGGUGGUAGGGUAACGGCCUACCAAGGCGACGAUCCGUAACUGGUCUGAGAGGAUGAUCAGUCACACUGGAACUGAGACACGGUCCAGACUCCUACGGGAGGCAGCAGUGGGGAAUAUUGGACAAUGGGCGAAAGCCUGAUCCAGCCAUGCCGCGUGUGUGAAGAAGGCCCUCGGGUCGUAAAGCACUUUAAGUUGGGAGGAAGGGCUUACAGCGAAUACCUGUGAGUUUUGACGUUACCGACAGAAUAAGCACCGGCUAACUUCGUGCCAGCCGCCGCGGUAA
rnacentral:rRNA from 1 species